rnacentral:misc_RNA from 1 species
AAAAUAUCAACAUUAAUAUGGCGAGAAUAUGUGUUUUGGGAGCUGGAGUGGCAGGGCUGUCGUCUGCUGUAAAUAUACAGUCGAUAUUACCGGAAGCAGACAUUACGUUAAUUGCUGAUCAAUUCAACAAAGAAACCACCAGCGAUGGUGCAGCAGGGCAUUUUGGUAUGAAUACAGAGAGAACAAAUACUGACAUACGCAGAUUAAGAAGCUGGACCAGAGAUUCAUUUGAGUGGUACCAUAAAAUUUGUACAUCUGAAGAUGCAAACAUCGCAGGAAUUCAUAGGACACACGGAUACAGACUCUGGAGGACCGAGACACCGCCUCCCUUUCACAGCAGGUUUGACUAUGGAUGCCGCGCUCUGUCUAAAUCUGAACUUCUGAGACUGCCUGGAAACUACACGUAUGGUUGGGAAUUGAAUUCACUGAUGGUGGAAUGUCGCCGCUAUUUGCCAUGGCUCAUGAAAAGAUUCACAGACAAAGGAGGAAAAGUAAUUCGUAAGAAACUUAUCAGUGUUGACGAGGUUGGUAAUUAACUUUCUACAAACAGCUUCAAACACUUACCUUUUUGGUAAUAUAUAGAAUCACCCAUUCAACUAUUAGCAAAAAUAAAACUCAAGUCUAUCUUUAUUGUUAAAUAUAAAUCAGUAAAUAAUAACAAACUGAAACAAAUAAUUAUCCUUAAUUAGAUAGCUGGAUCAUAUGACGUCAUAGUUAACUGCACGGGGCUAGGUAGCAGAAAGUUGUUUGAUGACAAGGAACUGGUCCCCAUUAGAGGGCAUUUAAUCCGGGUAAAAGCACCCUGGAUUAAAACCCUGUUUAUUGAUGAGGACGACACCUAUAUUCACUCAGGGCAGGACACCGUUGUUCUUGGUGGAACUUAUGAAAGGGGAGAGUAUAGACUAGACAAGGACCAGCGUUACUAUGACGACAUCAUGGCGCGAUGUUGUCGUCUGGUUCCGUCACUAAAACAUGCCGAAGUGGAAAGAACCUGGGUGGGACUUCGUCCAUGGCGGCCCAGCGUUCGUCUGGAGGUAGAGAUGAUAUCAGUCGGUGGUAGACGGCUGCCUUUCAUAACUAUGGUCACGGCGCAGACGGGGUCUGCCUCAGCUGGGGGUGUGGGGUGGAGGCAGCCAACCUUGUCAAGCAGCAACUGACAAAAACAGGUGCCCCGAGGCUGGUGUCCAAGUUAUGACACACAGGACCGAAUUUCAAAGUUAACGUAAUUACUAUCAAACAACUGUUUGAUAUAAGUAGACAAUAAUAUGAUUCUACGCUAAAGGGAAAAAGUGAAUACAUGCACAUGAUCAUAUGCAUAUCUUAUACAAUUACCUUCUUAAUGAAUUCAUUUGUGUUGUUAUCAAGCUGCCGAUUGUGUAACAGAAGAUUAAGUCACCUAUACAUAAAGUUACAUGAUAACACAUGCACACAUUUACAUGUACACGCAAUAGACAUUUUUUGUAAUUCCAUGAUAAUUUGAACAGGCCGAAAACGUGGUAUAAUUAUGAUAGAUGCAACAUACGUAGCUGUACGUACAUCAGACAUGGUUAAAUGAAGUAAACAUGACAACUUGUACAUUUACUCUGGUUUUAAUGAUGUUCGGGGGAAUCAUGUUCAAAGAUACGUAAAAAGGUGAAGUAGACCUAGCAAUACAAUAAGUUAUUUAAAAACACUGAAAUGAACAUUAAAUUUCGUUAAUCAACUCAUCAACAAAAUCCACGAUACUUUGUAUUUAAAGAAUAUUGAUAAUGACAGUACUUAAAUUAAUUCAAAUUACUUGUACCUAUUCAAGACAUGGCAACUUGUACAUGCAGUAAUUUGACAACUUGUACAUGUACAAUGUAUAGAAAGUGUUUAACAGUAAAAAAGUUAUAACGUUAUCCGACUUUGAUUAUUUUAUUACUGUAAGGUUUUUCAUGUCAUUUAAAUAUUGUUUUACCUAGAUAUUUCAUUUUGAUUUGUUUUGUAUCAUAUACAAUAAACUCAUUUUUAGUUC